AGUCGAGGGGCAGCAUUUCAGGUUUGCUUGCAAACUGGAGAUGGCGACCGGCGCACGGGCUGAGUAACACGCUAUCCAACCUGCCGAUAACUCGGGGAUAGCCUUUCGAAAGAAAGAUUAAUACCCGAUGGUAUAAUCAGACCGCAUGGUCUUNUUAUUAAAGAAUUUCGGUUAUCGAUGGGGAUGCGUUCCAUUAGGCAGUUGGUGAGGUAACGGCUCACCAAACCUUCGAUGGAUAGGGGUUCUGAGAGGAAGGUCCCCCACAUUGGAACUGAGACACGGUCCAAACUCAUACGGGAGGCAGCAGUGAGGAAUAUUGGUCAAUGGGCGCAGGCCUGAACCAGCCAAGUAGCGUGAAGGAUGACUGCCCUAUGGGUUGUAAACUUCUUUUAUAUGGGAAUAAAGUUUUUCCCACGUGUGGAAUUUUGUAUUGUACCAUAUGAAUAAGGAUCNGGCUAACUCCGUGCCAGCAGCCGCGGUAAUACGGAGGAUCCGAGCGUUAUCCGGAUUUAUUGGGUUUAAAGGGAGCGUAGGUGGACAGUUAAGUCAGUUGUGAAAGUUUGCGGCUCAACCGUAAAAUUGCAGUUGAUACUGGCUGUCUUGAGUACAGUAGAGGUGGGCGGAAUUCGUGGUGUAGCGGUGAAAUGCUUAGAUAUCACGAAGAACUCCGAUUGCGAAGGCAGCUCACUGGACUGCAACUGACACUGAUGCUCGAAAGUGUGGGUAUCAAACAGGAUUAGAUACCCUGGUAGUCCACACAGUAAACGAUGAAUACUCGCUGUUUGCGAUAUACAGUAAGCGGCCAAGCGAAAGCAUUAAGUAUUCCACCUGGGGAGUACGCCGGCAACGGUGAAACUCAAAGGAAUUGACGGGGGGCCCCGCACAAGCGGAGGAACAUGUGGUUUAAUUCGAUGAUACGCGAGGAACCNUUACCCGGGCUUAAAUUGCAUUUGAAUAUUUUGGAAACAGUNUAGCCGNAAGGCAAAUGUGAAGGUGCUGCAUGGUUGUCGUCAGCUCGUGCCGUGAGGUGUCGGCUUAAGUGCCAUAACGAGCGCAACCCUUAUCUUUAGUUACUAACAGGUCAUGCUUGAGGACUCUAGAGAGACUGCCGUCGUAAGAUGUGAGGAAGGUGGGGAUGACGUCAAAUCAGCACGGCCCUUACGUCCGGGGCUACACACGUGUUACAAUGGGGGGUACAGAAGGCAGCUACCUGGUGACAGGAUGCUAAUCCCAAAAGCCUCUCUCAGUUCGGAUCGAAGUCUGCAACCCGACUUCGUGAAGCUGGAUUCGCUAGUAAUCGCGCAUCAGCCAUGGCGCGGUGAAUACGUUCCCGGGCCUUGUACANNCCGCCCGUCAAGCCAUGAAAGCCGGGGGUACCUGAAGUACGUACCGCAA
rnacentral:rRNA from 1 species